GAUGAACGCUGGCGGCGUGCCUAAUACAUGCAAGUCGAGCGAAUGGAUUAAGAGCUUGCUCUUAUGAAGUUAGCGGCGGACGGGUGAGUAACACGUGGGUAACCUACCCAUAAGACUGGGAUAACUCCGGGAAACCGGGGCUAAUACCGGAUAAUAUUUUGAACUGCAUAGUUCGAAAUUGAAAGGCGGCUUCGGCUGUCACUUAUGGAUGGACCCGCGUCGCAUUAGCUAGUUGGUGAGGUAACGGCUCACCAAGGCGACGAUGCGUAGCCGACCUGAGAGGGUGAUCGGCCACACUGGGACUGAGACACGGCCCAGACUCCUACGGGAGGCAGCAGUAGGGAAUCUUCCGCAAUGGACGAAAGUCUGACGGAGCAACGCCGCGUGAGUGAUGAAGGCUUUCGGGUCGUAAAACUCUGUUGUUAGGGAAGAACAAGUGCUAGUUGAAUAAGCU
rnacentral:rRNA from 1 species